CAGAAAAUAGUUUACAUUAAAAAUAUUAAUUUUGGAGAUUAAUGAGAUAAGUUCAGGCUUUUUUUUCUGA
rnacentral:tRNA from 1 species